GCUAGUUAAUUCGAAGCUCAAGCCUCCACUAGAGGCCAGUUAAGUCGCCAAAAAUCACCACUUUUACAGGUUAUUGAAGUCGCCAAAAAGCGCCAAAAGAGGUCACCUACACUUCCAAAAUGAAACAUUUUUUCAGCCGAUCCUGUAGAUUCCCUUGCCUGCUCCAUGCGACUGAGAACUGAAGGACUCGGCCGUCGAACCUGGAAGAGGGUGGACGCGUUUCCGUGAUCCCGCGGAAACUAACUAAAGGUUCCGUGUAUUUAAAAAUUUUAGAACAAGUGACAUGAAAGUGAUAGUGUAUACCAGUUAAAUAAAUAAAUUAAUUAAGUAAAAACAAACAAAACAAACUAAAUAAAUAAAUAAGUAAAUUCUCAUUGACUCAACAAUACACCAAGAAUAAUAUGGAACCUUGAGUAACAACCGGCCAGUCUCAAUGAUUAAACAAUGAGAAACUGAAUGAUUAAACCAAAAUUAAUAAAAGCUAAAUGAAAUAAUACAUCAAAAUUAUAAAAACUGAUUAUUAAACCAUAUCAAUGUAGAAAGGAAAUAACACACUAAAUUCUCCCAAUUUUCGUACCUCUCGAGGCUAAUCCAGCUUACGAGGGGUAUAAUAAAUCGAGAAGGAAAAAAUUAUCAACAUAAACAUAAAGAUAGCGUUUGCUUAGGGAAAUAGAACAUAGAAUGUAAUUCACAGUCUCGGUGUGCUUUGUGACUUCUCUGAAUUGCUUAUUCUAUUGUUCCUUCCCCUUUGCUCAACAACGCAGCAUAAUCUCAGACGUACAUUCAAAUAAAUUUAUAUUCAAAACAAUCUACACAUAUAUAUAUAUAGAGGAGCUCACACCAACCUCAAAACAAAUCGACCCUUGGCCGAUGCGGUGUAUUACCAGUGGCCAGGCUAGCUUCACGGAUUGUACGUGACGCUAGCCAAAUUGAAAGAAGAAGAAGAAGAAGCCGAUCCUGUAAUAGAACCUUGGUCGAAGCGGUCAAUCGUGCCAGUGGCCAGGCUAGUCUCACGGGCAGACGUGAGCAUAGCCAAAAGUGAAAGAAGAAGAAGAUCCUGUAAUAGGCAAAUAGCCUCUACCACGGUCUUACAUACAGGUCAAGGAGACUAUAGGGAAGGAGUCCAAUCUCAGCAAUCGGGCACGUCCGCAAAAGUGUCGGGAAAGAGGGUUCCUCUCGAGCGGCGCUGUUGUAGGCCAUCCAAAGACAUUGGAGAACCAGUGGCCUUUUGAGAGCAUAUCGUAACGAUCUAGUUGCGAUAAAAAUUAAAAGGAUGAUCAUGGCACUAUCCUUGGCUCUGCCGCAGCUUUUCAUUAAAAUUGUAAACAGCGUGCCAAACAACAUGGCCUUCCAAAUGAAUGGCUUCCUCAAAUAUGUUUUCGAGCAAUGGAUCCACCGUUUCGGAGCAACGGAUUUAUCAGUUUAUAAUAAAAAAACAUUUAGAACUAAUAAUGCCUCUGAGGCAAUCAAUAAAAGCCUAAAUGCGCUACUGGGCUCCAUUAAAAAAGCCAUCGGCUAUGGUUUUUACGCAUAAGAGCAUUGCUACAACACCAAAUGUGUAUCCACACAAAAGUUGUAUCGAUGGUUGAGCGGGGACUCAGGGUGCAUUUCCGAUGCGUUGGAGCUGCAUUGGAGACAAUUAAAGGAGCAUAUAAUUUCUCCAGAACGAUUUUUCGAAAAAAUCCUGAAACUUACGAUCCCAGCGGCAAGAGAAGCGCUUCAACGGAUACAAGGAGAUAUUUACCACGAGUUUAUUACAAUACUUACCAUGCACCUUAAAUGCGUAAAUUUUAUUAUUUUCCAGAUCCCGAUAGAGUUCGGAGAAUGCCAAGGAAUGACAAUAUCGCUUUUUGGACGCGAAUUGGAAUUAAUAAAGCAGGAGGGCACGAAAUUUUUGUUGACGGUAUACAACAUUUUGACGAGGACAUCAGAAGGCGUCUCACUACAAUUGGGGAGACGAAAAUUACCGAAGCUUUAACAACGAUGGGAGAAAUUGUGGUUGAUUUACCCAUUCAAGUAUAGAAGUCAACAUCGGUUGAAAUAAUGUACAAAGAAAUAAAAAUUUUGAAAAAUUGUUAAA